rnacentral:rRNA from 1 species
UACGGAGGGGGUUAGCGUUGUUCGGAAUUACUGGGCGUAAAGCGCGCGUAGGCGGACUAGUCAGUCAGGGGUGAAAUCCCGGGGCUCAACCCCGGAACUGCCUUUGAUACUGCUAGUCUUGAGUUCGAGAGAGGUGAGUGGAAUUCCGAGUGUAGAGGUGAAAUUCGUAGAUAUUCGGAAGAACACCAGUGGCGAAGGCGGCUCACUGGCUCGAUACUGACGCUGAGGUGCGAAAGUGUGGGGAGCAAACAGGAUUAGAUACCCGCGUAGUCC